rnacentral:lncRNA from 1 species
UGUAAAUUUUAGGAUACACCUGUAUAUACAGUGGUUUUGCUGGAGUUUGGGUAGAAAAUGCAUUGAGUCUAUAGACCAAGCAAGAGAGACUUGAAACAAAGCAAUCUUCAAAUCUGGAAGUGUAGCAUUUUAUAAUAUUUUGACUUUUUUUAUCUUUCAUAUAUUUGGCUUGACAUAGUUUUGUGGGAUUUGGGUAUGAUUUUAUCUUUUUUUGUCAUUUCUGAUUCCACUGUUUUAUUCUUAUGUAUGGAAAUAUAUUUUACUGUGAUAGGCUUCAGAUUGUGUAGUCCUGUUAAGAGUCAUAUUAAAUUUCAAUGCUUUUAGGUAGGCAGAGUCAUGGCCUUGCAGUUAAAAGGGUGUUGCCUUUGCAGUGAACCCAAGUGUAGUUCCUACUACCACCACUGGGUGGCUCACAACUGCCUUUAACUCCAGCUCCAAAGGAUCUGUUGUCCUCUUUUCUCCUUGGUGGGCAUGUGCCCUCACAUGCGUGCCUACCCAUCCCCCACACAUAAUUAAAGGUAAAAAGUCUUUUAAAAAUUCUAGUGAUUUGUUUAUACUUUCAGAUCACCCUUUAUAGAAUAUUGUCAAAUGCAAAUAAAUAGUUUCACUUUUUUUCUAAUCUAUUUCCAUUUUCUCAUAUUGAACUAUCUAGGAAUGGUCAAGUAGGAGUGAUAAGAAAUACUUGCCUUUGUGAUCUUUGAGAAGGGUUAUUUUAUCAAUUCUGUAGCAUCAGCUAGUUUUGUAUAAAUGCCCUUGGACUGAGCGUCUCUGAAUAUUGAAUUUUUUCUUUAUAUUUAUUGAAAUGACCAGCUUUUUAAAACUUUAGUAGAUUACAUUGAUUACUGAAAUAACUUUGCCCUUUUUGGAUAAAUUGCAUAUCUGUCUUUAUCUAAAAUAUUUUAUUUAAAUUCAGCUUUCUAUUGUGUUGAUAAAUUUUGCAUCUGCUCUUUUGGGCAUAUUGUUCUGUGGGGUUUUUCCAUAGUCUUGGUUGAUUUGGGUUUGUGAGUAAUGCAAGUAUGAAUUGAAAAGGCUUUCUAGGCUUAAAGAAAUGGCACAGGAGUUCUUGCUGCUCUUCCAGAAGACCUGAUUAAGAUCCCAGCCCCACAUUGGGUAGCUCACAACUUCCUGUAGCUCCAUCUACACCAACUGUGUAGGGAGUGAUCCAACACCCUUGCUGGCCUUUCCAGACACUUGUAAACACAUACAUUAGAAAAAUCUAUACCUUUGAAAAAUCUUCUCUAAAAGCAAUUUCUGAAGGGUUUUUUUUUUUUAAUUAGGAUUUACUGGUUUAAAAAAAGC